rnacentral:rRNA from 1 species
ACUCAAAUGAAUAGACGGGGGCCCGCACAAGCAGUGGAGUAUGUGGUUUAAUUCGAAGCAACGCGAAGAACCUUACCAGGGCUUGACAUACAGUGGAAUAUGCUAGAGAUAGUAUAGCUCUUCGGAGCCGCUGUACAGGUGGUGCAUGGUUGUCGUCAGCUCGUGUCGUGAGAUGUUGGGUUAAGUCCCGCAACGAGCGCAACCCCUGUUGUUAGUUGCCAGCACGUAAAGGUGGGCACUCUAGCGAGACUGCCGGUGACAAAUCGGAGGAAGGUGGGGACGACGUCAAAUCAUCAUGCCCCUUAUGUCCUGGGCUACACACGUACUACAAUGGCUAUUACAGCAGGAAGCGAAGGAGCAAUCUGGAGCAAAUCCUCAAAAUUAGUCCCAGUUCGGAUUGUGGGCUGCAACUCGCCCACAUGAAGUCGGAAUUGCUAGUAAUGGCAGGUCAGCAUACUGCCGUGAAUACGUUCCCGGGCCUUGUACACACCGCCCGU